CCUACGGGAGGCAGCAGUGGGGAAUAUUGGACAAUGGGCGAAAGCCUGAUCCAGCCAUGCCGCGUGUGUGAAGAAGGCCUUCGGGUUGUAAAGCACUUUCAGUGGGGAAGAAAGCCUUGGGGCUAAUACCCUCGAGGAAGGACAUCACCCACAGAAGAAGCACCGGCUAACUCCGUGCCAGCAGCCGCGGUAAUACGGAGGGUGCGAGCGUUAAUCGGAAUUACUGGGCGUAAAGCGCGCGUAGGCGGUCUGAUAAGCCGGUUGUGAAAGCCCCGGGCUCAACCUGGGAACGGCAUCCGGAACUGUCAGGCUAGAGUGCAGGAGAGGAAGGUAGAAUUCCCGGUGUAGCGGUGAAAUGCGUAGAGAUCGGGAGGAAUACCGGUGGCGAAGGCGGCCUUCUGGACUGACACUGACGCUGAGGUGCGAAAGCGUGGGUAGCAAACAGGAUUAGAUACCCUAGUAGUC
rnacentral:rRNA from 1 species